AGAGUUUGAUCCUGGCUCAGAUUGAACGCUGGCGGCAGGCCUAACACAUGCAAGUCGAGCGGUAGCACAGAGAGCUUGCUCUCGGGUGACGAGCGGCGGACGGGUGAGUAAUGUCUGGGAAACUGCCUGAUGGAGGGGGAUAACUACUGGAAACGGUAGCUAAUACCGCAUAACGUCGCAAGACCAAAGUGGGGGACCUUCGGGCCUCAUGCCAUCAGAUGUGCCCAGAUGGGAUUAGCUAGUAGGUGGGGUAACGGCUCACCUAGGCGACGAUCCCUAGCUGGUCUGAGAGGAUGACCAGCCACACUGGAACUGAGACACGGUCCAGACUCCUACGGGAGGCAGCAGUGGGGAAUAUUGCACAAUGGGCGCAAGCCUGAUGCAGCCAUGCCGCGUGUGUGAAGAAGGCCUUCGGGUUGUAAAGCACUUUCAGCGGGGAGGAAGGCGGUGAGGUUAAUAACCUCAUCGAUUGACGUUACCCGCAGAAGAAGCACCGGCUAACUCCGUGCCAGCAGCCGCGGUAAUACGGAGGGUGCAAGCGUUAAUCGGAAUUACUGGGCGUAAAGCGCACGCAGGCGGUCUGUCAAGUCGGAUGUGAAAUCCCCGGGCUCAACCUGGGAACUGCAUUCGAAACUGGCAGGCUAGAGUCUUGUAGAGGGGGGUAGAAUUCCAGGUGUAGCGGUGAAAUGCGUAGAGAUCUGGAGGAAUACCGGUGGCGAAGGCGGCCCCCUGGACAAAGACUGACGCUCAGGUGCGAAAGCGUGGGGAGCAAACAGGAUUAGAUACCCUGGUAGUCCACGCUGUAAACGAUGUCGAUUUGGAGGUUGUGCCCUUGAGGCGUGGCUUCCGGAGCUAACGCGUUAAAUCGACCGCCUGGGGAGUACGGCCGCAAGGUUAAAACUCAAAUGAAUUGACGGGGGCCCGCACAAGCGGUGGAGCAUGUGGUUUAAUUCGAUGCAACGCGAAGAACCUUACCUGGUCUUGACAUCCACAGAACUUACCAGAGAUGGUUUGGUGCCUUCGGGAACUGUGAGACAGGUGCUGCAUGGCUGUCGUCAGCUCGUGUUGUGAAAUGUUGGGUUAAGUCCCGCAACGAGCGCAACCCUUAUCCUUUGUUGCCAGCGGUUAGGCCGGGAACUCAAAGGAGACUGCCAGUGAUAAACUGGAGGAAGGUGGGGAUGACGUCAAGUCAUCAUGGCCCUUACGACCAGGGCUACACACGUGCUACAAUGGCAUAUACAAAGAGAAGCGACCUCGCGAGAGCAAGCGGACCUCAUAAAGUAUGUCGUAGUCCGGAUUGGAGUCUGCAACUCGACUCCAUGAAGUCGGAAUCGCUAGUAAUCGUAGAUCAGAAUGCUACGGUGAAUACGUUCCCGGGCCUUGUACACACCGCCCGUCACACCAUGGGAGUGGGUUGCAAAAGAAGUAGGUAGCUUAACCUUCGGGAGGGCGCUUACCACUUUGUGAUUCAUGACUGGGGUGAAGUCGUAACAAGGUACCCG
rnacentral:rRNA from 1 species